UACCGCAUAACAGUUUAUGCCGCAUGGCAUAAGAGUGAAAGGCGCUUUCGGGUGUCGCUGAUGGAUGGACCCGCGGUGCAUUAGCUAGUUGGUGAGGUAACGGCUCACCAAGGCCACGAUGCAUAGCCGACCUGAGAGGGUGAUCGGCCACACUGGGACUGAGACACGGCCCAGACUCCUACGGGAGGCAGCAGUAGGGAAUCUUCGGCAAUGGACGAAAGUCUGACCGAGCAACGCCGCGUGAGUGAAGAAGGUUUUCGGAUCGUAAAACUCUGUUGUUAGAGAAGAACAAGGACGUUAGUAACUGAACGUCCCCUGACGGUAUCUAACCAGAAAGCCACGGCUAACUACGUGCCAGCAGCCGCGGUAAUACGUAGGUGGCAAGCGUUGUCCGGAUUUAUUGGGCGUAAAGCGAGCGCAGGCGGUUUCUUAAGUCUGAUGUGAAAGCC
rnacentral:rRNA from 1 species